rnacentral:rRNA from 1 species
UACAGAGGGUGCGAGCGUUAAUCGGAAUUACUGGGCGUAAAGCGCACGUAGGCGGCUUGGUAUGUCGGGUGUGAAAUCCCCGGGCUCAACCUGGGAACUGCAUCCGAAACUGCCUUGCUAGAGUAUGGGAGAGGGAAGUGGAAUUUCCGGUGUAGCGGUGAAAUGCGCAGAUAUCGGAAGGAACAUCAGUGGCGAAGGCGACUUCCUGGACCAAUACUGACGCUCAGGUGCGAAAGCGUGGGGAGCAAACAGG